rnacentral:rRNA from 1 species
UACGGAGGAUGCAAGCGUUAUCCGGAAUGAUUGGGCGUAAAGGGUCCGCAGGUGGCUAUGUAAGUCUGCUGUUAAAGAGUCACGCUCAACGUGAUAAAAGCAGUGGAAACUACAAGGCUAGAGUGCGUUCGGGGCAGAGGGAAUUCCUGGUGUAGCGGUGAAAUGCGUAGAUAUCAGGAAGAACACCGGUGGCGAAAGCGUUCUGCUAGACCAAAACUGACACUGAGGGACGAAAGCUAGGGGAGCGAAUGGG